rnacentral:lncRNA from 1 species
UUCUACCUUGGACUUGUCAUGCUGGACACCCCUCAGGACUUAGAUUUAUCUAUUCCCGGCUCUCUGGAGAGACAGCACAUACAGCAAAAAGAUGAAGCAGCAUCGAGCCACCUAGAGGCAAUCUUACCCAAGCCUGCCCAGCAAAGCAAAGAGUGCUGAGAAGGAGCUGGGGCUGACUCCAGGCCUGGAAAGUGCAGGGGGGGAGGAUGUUGAAGAGAUCCAGGCCAGCAUGCAGAGUGAUUCAGCCAGGAAGUCUCAGAGUGUUGCUGUGGGAUUCCCGUCCACCCACAUUCCAUAUGCACUUUGGUACCACCUGAUCGCACUUGUCUACUCUGGCUUAAAUAUCAGUGAGGAUUGUCUAUAGGAUACCUUGAAUGAGGACUAUAAGACAUGGAGAUGUGGUGGUGUUUACAGAUGAGAUGCUACUAGAUUCAGGACCACCAGAAAAUUAAAUAUUUUUGCAACUCAAAACAAUGCUGCUGUGAGUUUCAAGUUUGCUUGUUCAACACCCAGAUAAAGAGGAUUAUAGAACAUUCUGCUAUAGAUGCAGCACUGGGAAAUGAUAUGGGACAGAAAUGCCCCCUGUAAGUUCUAGUCCCUGACCCACGCUGUAUCAUUACGUGGUCUUGCAAAGUCCCCCUUAACCUCUGCCUGCCUCAUUAAACACGUCUACACAACAGACUUUUACAAUAAUGACUUUAAAGCACGUCUCCCUUAACAAAUCUUGUAAAUGGGAAAAUCUUAUUAUUAUCC